AAUUAAAGAAAUUUUUAAGAAAAG
rnacentral:tRNA from 1 species